rnacentral:misc_RNA from 1 species
ACUAGCUAGACUCUAGAUUAAGGAUUGAAAUUAGGGUUUCAUGUUUCCAGCAAAAUGGUGCCGUCUUGAGUCUUGAAAAGAUCCAAGACAAAACCAAAUCACUACAUACAUCCCU